rnacentral:lncRNA from 1 species
AGGGCAAGUGCGAUUCUGAGAGACCAAGUGAGGCAGGCAUCCUGGGAUGAGGGCUCCAUAUGGAUGAUCCGGGCUGCCCAAGCUGUCCUGCCCACCUCUUUGGAACAACCCCUCGGAGCUAUGUGAGAGGAUGCCACCCUGGGCGACAGUCGUCAGUAAGGCUACCAAGUAAAAUAACUCUCACUUUUUACAUCGUGCAUUUUUUUUCCCGGUCAACAUACCUUAAAUCAUGAUGUUGAAUUCCCCUCCUCUUGUGGGUUUGGUCUGCCAAGCCAGCCAUCCUGGGACCACAUCACCCACCCUAGGCUGGUUUCUAAAUUUCAAAGCUGCAGCCUAGAGAAUGUAGGAAGCCAGUCCUUGGAAUUCUGAUAUGUGGCCAAGAUUUGCCUUUUACCCCACCUGGAGCAGAGGCCAUGGCAACAAGUUGCCACAUGUCUCAUAAGCAAAGAAUUGCCUUAUGUUACCAAUGUGUUCUGUUUUCACCUUGACGUAGAAAGGACACAUUUAAGCCUACAACACAUUGUUGAAAUAACAAAGCCGACUAGCAUCCAUGAGGACACGGGUUCAAUCCCUGGCCUUGCUCAGUGGGUUAAGGAUUUGGUGUUGCCAUGAGCUGCAGUGAAGGUCACAGACAUGGCUCAGAUCUGGCGUUGCUGUGCCGGUGGCAUAGGCUGGUGGUUACAGCUCCAAUUUGACCCCUAGCCUGGGAACCUCCAUAUGCUGCAGGUACAGCCCUAAAAAGCCAAAAAAAGGAAAGCAAGCAGUGAUCUGCCAACCACUCUCCUGCCCCUUACACAGCGCACAGGGAGGCAGUGGGGGACACACCAGUACUAAAGCCGGGCAGAAAUGACAGAUGGUUGUCCACUGCCUCAUCAGCUUCCAUCUAAAUUAAUGGGAAGUGGCUUUCUGUUCCCUUUACUCUUCAGAUUUGCUGUUGGCUCCCUUGUGUACCUGAGGGGGAAAGCUCAGGUGGGGAGGUGAUAUAUCUCAGGCCUUGUUCAAGAGUGGAACUCGCUUCUCAAGUCUCAAUUCCAAAAAAAAAAUAUGUUGUUCCUGCCAGGCGUUUAGCUUCCAGAAACACAGGCAUGACUAAAAUGCUUCAUGCGAUACAAUGCCAGAGGCCCCAUCAAAUUUCAAAAGUUGACAUGAUCAGCUGCAUCAUGUCAGGAAAAGCGCCGAGAAAGAAAAGUGCCUCUAAAAGAAAACCUGAAACAUCCCCCCACCUAAAUUCACCUCGGGGAAAAGGAAAAGAAACCCGGGUGAUGCCCUGGGGCCCAUCUGCUCCAGGAUCCUCUGUUCACACUGUGUCGGAAAGGGAGUGUACAGAUCUGUGUCCAGCUGUGUCCAACUCUACUCUUUAUAAACAACUUCCAGGAGUCUCAUUACCAUCAUGCGUCCGGAGCAAAAGAGGUAAGGAAACAUUUAAAAAACAAACUAAGAGUUCUCAUCAUGGUGCAGCAGAAACGAAUCUGACUAGUAUCCAUGAGGAUGCAGGUUCAAUCCCCGGCCUCACUCAGUGGGUUAAGGACCUGGUAUUGCCAUGAGCUGUGGUGUAGCCUGCAGAUGCGGCUCGGAUCCGGCGUGGCUGUGGCUGUGGCUGUGGCUAUGGUCAGUGGCUACAGCUCCGAUUAGACCCCUAGCCUGGGGACCUCCAAGUGCCGUAGGUGUGGUCCUAAAAAGAUAAAAAAAAAAACAAAAACCUAUAUAACUGUCACAUGCUAAUAUUAUUCAGUCUUUUUAGAUCUUGUCGGGGGAGGGGGGAAUGAAGAGCAAGGCUCUAGAGACAGACGGACUGUGUCCAAUUCUAGCCGAGUCUUUCAGCUCCAUGACCUUGGGUUAGAUUAACUGACUUUCUGAGCCUCAGUUUCCCCAGGUAUAAAAUACAGACAAUAAUUCACAUCUACCUUGAAAACCUGUGGCAAUUCCUGAGUCACCUACAGGAAAAUUCAGGACUCUGAGAGGCACAUACUAAAUAGCUAAUACAUAUUAACACUUACUAUAGGUGAGAAUAUUCCCACCAUGAGUCAGGGUCUCAGGCUCUGUUUGGGGCACAGGAGCUUGUUUUGUAAAGACAGACUCUGCCCUGUAGCUAAAAUGUCUGCCUCUCACCUCCACUAACACCUUUAAAUGUACGUUUUUAAGCGCCGAGGUAAGAGGGGGAGGAUGAGUCAGCAACCAAACAUCAAAUUAGAGUCAGCGGCAUCCUGUCCAUAAUAUAAGAAGCAACACUUGUACUAUGAAACAGUAUGGAUUUUUAAGGAAGAAUCAUGACAGGAGGGUCUCCAUUCUAAACCCACUUAAAUAAAGGCACAUCAAGCAGAGAAGCAAUAUAUGCCACCAUUCAAAAAUCCCAAAAGUCACACUGUGCCAAAACUUCAAAUCAGGAUGAGAUCAGUAGACAGAAAUCCGAGGGAAAAUGAACAAAACUAAAACAAACAAACAAAACCCAACACCUUGCAAAGGAAAUCCUAGCUCCUUUUAUACCUGUCUGUAGCUGCCCAGGCUUGUUUAACAUUG